rnacentral:rRNA from 1 species
UACGUAGGGACCAAGCGUUGUUCGGAUUUAUUGGGCGUAAAGGGCGCGUAGGCGGUUUGACAAGUCUGAUGUGAAAUCUCUGGGCUCAACCCAGAGUCUGCAUUAGAAACUGUCGGGCUUGAGUAUGGGAGAGGUGAGUGGAAUUUCCGGUGUAGCGGUGAAAUGCGUAGAUAUCGGAAGGAACACCUGUGGCGAAAGCGGCUCACUGGACCAUAACUGACGCUGAGGCGCGAAAGCUAGGGGAGCAAACAGG